rnacentral:rRNA from 1 species
UACGUAGGGUGCAAGCGUUGUCCGGAAUUAUUGGGCGUAAAGAGCUCGUAGGCGGUCUGUCGCGUCGGAUGUGAAAACCCAGGGCUCAACCCUGGGCCUGCAUUCGAUACGGGCAGACUUGAGUUCGGUAGGGGAGACUGGAAUUCCUGGUGUAGCGGUGAAAUGCGCAGAUAUCAGGAGGAACACCGGUGGCGAAGGCGGGUUGCUGGGCCGACACUGACGCUGAUGCGCGAAAGCUAGGGGAGCGAACGGG